rnacentral:lncRNA from 1 species
CUCUGCAUUUAUUGAUUUCAGAGGUCAGAGAAUAAAACAUGAUUCUCAUAAGGAGUAUGCUGCCUACAACUCUGCAUUGAUGAAAACUAUUAAGGGUGCAACAACUGGUUUAAUUUCUGGCACCAUCUGGGUACUGUUGUUGCCACCUGGAAUCAUGUUCCUCGUGUUGAGAGAAACGUUGCUCUUCCAUGCCUCAUAAGAACUUUCAAGAUGAUGGGCAACUAUGCAUUGACCUUUGUUGCCAUAGGAGGAGUCUACAUUGGUGUUAAGCAGUUGGUGCAGAACGCUAGGAUGAAGAGGGAUCUUGUCAACGGUGAUGUAGGUGUGCAACUGUUCUGGGUUACAAAGGUAGCCUUUUGCUCCAAACUAUUUUAUCUCUGUUAGGCCAUAAUUUGCAUAUGUUAAAUCUAUAUCUUGAAAUCUCACUUAUGGAAAUAAAUUUUAUGAAAAUAAAUUUUUUAUUUUUAAUUUGAAGAAAACACCGCGUGGUAACCGUUGAACUAGAAAUUUCGCUAAUUUACGCUUUUGGGUUUGGUCAUUGGUGGGUCGGCCACGAGCUUUGUGUGUGCGUUCAGGUUUCAUAAAAUUCAUGCUUGCUCUAACAUCUUUCCAACACACUAACUCACCUUCAUCUUUCCAACACACUAACUCACCUUCUGGGUUUGGUCAUUGGUGGGUCGGCCACGAGCUUUGUGUGUGCGUUCAGGUUUCCUAUAAAAUUCAUGCUUGCUCUAACAUCUUUCCAACACACUAACUCACCUUCGUCUUUCCAACACACUAACUCACCUUCUAACAUCGCCACUGUUAAUGAAAAUGAUGAUUUUAGCUUUCUUCUUCUUCCUCAUGGUUUUAUCAUCAACGUCAUCACCCCUUCCUCCACCACCACCGUCACUAAGUGAUGGCUUGUCCCUCGAGCUCAUCCCACCCCAUUCUCCAAAAUCUCCAUUUUAUCAUUCUAACCUUGUAAAUCCCUUAGUUUCCCCAUAUAAACAAGGCGUGGUAGUAAAGAUUGGUAUUGGUACCAUCGACAUCGAGGAUGAUGUGGCUUACAAAUCUUAUCUGUUAGUAUUCGACACUGGAUCCGACUUAAUAUGGAUUCAGUGUGAGGAAUGCAAGAUUCAAGAUGAAAACCAUAGGUGCUAUCCUCAGAAAGAAGAACCGUUUCCGGAUAGCAAGUCAAGAACCUACCAACCUCUGCCUUCAAGUUACCCCCUCUGCAAAUACGGUCGCUCCGACGAAAAAGGCCGCUGCAUAUACACGGUGAAGUACAAAACUGGAUCCAUCAACAGCACAGGCGUGCUUUCCAGUGAGACCUUCAGAUUCCUCUCUACUUCGUCACCAAGUGGUACGGAGAAGGUGAGAGAGAUUGUCUUCGGGUGCGGUUAUAAGAACUAUGACGAUGACCGUAAUGAUGGUGAUGCUUAUCAGAUAGCAGGGAUUUUUGGCAUGAGCCCUGGUCCCCUUUCUUUUCUAAGCCAAUAUAAAGGAAAGAAAUUUUCAUACUGCAUGGUUCCACGCCAUGUGAAAAACCCUCCUCCAACCUACCUGAGGUUUGCCUCAGAAGUGAAGCCGUUAACAAGGUUCCAGACGGUGGAUCUUCUUAUGACUAAGGCAACUAAAAGUUUAUUUAUUCUGCAACUGGAAGAUCUUGGAGUAAACGGCAAGAGGCUUCGGAUUGAUCGGAGGAGGCUUGGAAAUCAGCAGUUAGUUGUUGACUCUGGCUCCACUAAUUCACUUAUGCUGAACGGUGCCCAUGAAAAACUUGUGAGUAAAUUAGAUAGCAUUCUAAUUACCGCAACUGGGGACUUUAAAAAGGAUGUCGUAACCUUUGAAGACCAAAUUUGUUAUAAGAGGAUGAGGAAGCCACAAGGAUUUACUGCCAACAUACCAAGUGUCAAUUACUACUUCAAAGGAGGUGCUCAUCUCGAUUUACCUCCUCAAAAUGUUUUUGUACAGAAACUAAAACGGAACACAGAAUGGUUCUGUUUCAACAUUUUCCCAGACCAGCAAAUGAAUCUCUUGGGUGCCUACCAACAAGCUGACUUUAAGUUCAUUUUUGAUAUCAAGAAAAAUAAGCUGCAGUUUGGUCCAGAGAAUUGUGCUCAAAACAGUUAACUAAAUCAAAUAAGCUGACUUUAUGUAUAUGCUCCAGCUUUACCACUAAUUGAUAAAUAAAUCCAAUCUUAUAUAUAUAUAUAUGUGACAGCAUUAUUGCAUUGCAUUAUUUAUACCGUAGAUUUUGUUGUGCGUAGCUAUCUGGAUUUUCAUUUCUGGUAAUUUGAUUUUGCUUUAGUUGUGAAAUGUAUUUACUGCUUGUGAAUUGUGAUGUUGGAUGAGGUAAUUGAGCAAUGAAUUUUUUUUCACCAAUACUGAAUUGAUUACACUCAUUGAAAACUAUUAAGGGUGCAACAACUGGUUUAAUUUCUGGCACCAUCUGGGUACUGUUGUUGCCACCUGGAAUCAUGUUCCUUGUGUUGAGAGAAACCUUGCUCUUCCAGGCCUCAUAAGAACUUUCAAGAUGAUGGGCAACUAUGCAUUGACCUUUGUUGCCAUAGGAGGAGUCUACAUUGGUGUUAAGCAGUUGGUGCAGAACGCUAGGAUGAAGAGGGAUCUUGUCAAUGGUGCUGUAGGUGUGCAACUGUUCUGGGUUACAAAG